GUGAACAUCACACCUUCCGAGAGAGGCAAUGUCUUUACACGACUCUUGAAUGCUCAGUUGGAUUGCCGCAUCAAGAAGCUCGUCGUCAUCGUCUAAGUCACCUGAUGGGUCCAUUUUUCCUGGAGACGACAGAGGUGCUUCAGGGAUCGUGGGUUGUCUGGAAGAAAUUCAAAAGCUAUUAGUCUGCAUUCCCUGAGACUAGAGAACCAUCGAUCUAUUGCUAGAAAACAGGAUGGAUCUCAGUCGUGAGCAGAGGGGGACGUGGCUGACAUAGUCCAGUAGGAUCAGUACCACUCGUCCUGACAGGCCAACCAAGCAGCACAAACUCAUGAAGUCACAAAACUGUGAAGUAAUGGUGACAUAAAC